ensembl:misc_RNA 7SK 7SK RNA
GGAUGUGAGGGCGAUCUGGCUGCGACAUCUGUCUCCCCAUUGAUCGCCAGGGUUGAUUCGGCUGAUCUGGCUGGCUAGGCGGGUGUCCCCUUCCUCCCUCACUGCUCCAUGUGCAUCCCUCCCGAAGCUGCGUGCUCAGUCAAAGAGGACGACCAUCCCCGAUAGAGGAGGACCGGUCUUCGGUCAAGGGUAUACGAGUAGCUGCGCUCCCCUGCUAGAACCUCCAAACAAGCUCUCAAGAAUUAUAUGCUUUUUUCUUACCUAAAGAAAUGUUAGGCGCCGGGCGCUGGUGGCUCACGCCUGUAAUCCUAGCUACUCAGGAGGCUGAGAUCUGAGGAUCUCGGUUC